rnacentral:rRNA from 1 species
CCACGAACGGUGGACGCCUGUCGGUUUAAUUGGACUCAACGCCGGGCAGCUCACCGGAUAAGACAGCUGGAUGAUAGCCGGGCUGAAGACUCUGCUUGACUAGCUGAGAGGAGGUGCAUGGCCGUCGUCAGUUCGCACUGUGAAGCAUCCUGUUAAGUCAGGCAACGAGCGAGACCCACGCCAACAGUUGCCAGCAUGUCCUCCGGGAUGAUGGGGACACUGUUGGGACCGCCUCUGCUAAAGAGGAGGAAGGAAUGGGCAACGGUAGGUCAGCAUGCCCCGAAUUAUCCGGGCUACACGCGGGCUACAAUGGUCAGGACAAUGGGUAUCGACACCGAGAGGUGGAGGCAAUCUCCUAAACCUGUCCUUAGUUCGGAUUGUGGGCUGCAACUCGCCCACAUGAAGCUGGAAUCCGUAGUAAUCGCGUUUCAAAAUAGCGCGGUGAAUAUGUCCCUGCUCCUU